rnacentral:rRNA from 1 species
AUUGAACGCUGGCGGCGUGCUUAACACAUGCAAGUCGAUCGGUAACGCGGGGGCAACCCUGGCGACGAGAGGCGGACGGGUGAGGAACGCUUGGGAAUCUGCCUAUCAGCGGGGGACAACACGGGGAAACUCGUGCUAAUACCGCAUACGCUCUACGGAGGAAAGCCGGGGACCGCAAGGCCUGGCACUGAUAGAUGAGCCCAAGCCGGAUUAGCUAGUUGGCGGGGUAACGGCCCACCAAGGCCACGAACCGUAGCUGGUCGGAGAGGACGAUCAGCCACACUGGAACUGAGACACGGUCCAGACUCCUACGGGAGGAAGCAGUGGGGAAUAUUGGACAAUGGGGGAAACCCUGAUCCAGCGACGCCGCGUGGGUGAAGAAGGCCUGCGGGUGGUAAAGCCCUUUCGGUAGGGACGAAAGCUCUCGACCUAACACGUCGGGAGGUUGACUUAACCUACAAAAGAAGCACCGGCGAACUCUGUGCCAGCAGCAGCCGCCGUAA